AGUCUGGUGCCAGCAGCCGCGGUAAUUCCAGCUCCAAUAGCGUAUAUUAAAGUUGUUGCAGUUAAAAAGCUCGUAGUUGGAUCUGGGGUUCGGGUCGGCGGUUUGCCGCUUCGGCGGCUACUGCCGUGCUCGACUCUUACUAGCCGGUGCGUCUUGCGGUGCUCUUCAUCGAGUGCCGUAGGAGCCUGGCAUGUUUACUUUGAAAAAAUUAGAGUGCUCAAAGCAGGCGAUUCCGCCUGAAUAGUGUUGCAUGGAAUAAUGGAAUAGGACCUCGGUUCUAUUUUGUUGGUUUUCGGAACUUGAGGUAAUGAUUAAGAGGGACGGUCGGGGGCAUUCGUAUUUCGGUGUUAGAGGUGAAAUUCUUGGAUCGCUGAAAGACGGACAAAUGCGAAAGCAUCUGCCAAGAACGUCUCCAUUAAUCAAGAACGAAAGUCAGAGGUUCGAAGACGAUCAGACACCGUCCUAGUUCUGACCAUAAACGAUGCCAACUAGCGAUCCGCAGUGGUUGCUAUAAACGGACUCUGCGAGCAGCUUCCGGGAAACCAAAGUGUUUGGGUUCCGGGGGAAGUAUGGUUGCAAAGCUGAAACUUAAAGGAAUUGACGGAAGGGCACCACCAGGAGUGGAGCCUGCGGCUUAAUUUGACCCAACACGGGGAAACUCACCCGGUCCGGACACUGUAAGGAUUGACAGAUCGAGAGCUCUUUCUUGAUUCGGUGGAUGGUGGUGCGUGGCCGUUCUUAGUUGGUGGAGUGAUUUGUCUGGUUAAUUCCGAUAACGAACGAGACUCUAGCCUGCUAACUAGUUGCGCCGUGUUCAUACGCGGCUGUAGACUUCUUAGAGGGACAGGUGGCGUUUAGCCACACGAAAUUGAGCAAUAACAGGUCUGUGAUGCCCUUAGAUGUCCGGGGCCGCACGCGCGCUACACUGAAGGAGUCAGCGUGUGCUAUCCGGGCUCGGAAGAGUUCGGUAACCCGUUGAAACUCCUUCGUGCUUGGGAUUGUGGCUUGUAAUUAUCGCGCAUGAACGAGGAAUUCCCAGUAAGUGCAAGUCAUCAGCUUGCGCUGACUACGUCCCUGCCCUUUGUACACACCGCCCGUCGCUACUACCGAUUGAAUGGUUUAGCAAGGUACUCGGAUUGGUCUCGAUCUUGUACGAAAGUGCGGGAUCUGUGGCCGAGAAGAAGGCCAAACUUGAUCAUUUAGAGGAAGUAAA
rnacentral:rRNA from 1 species